GACGGGGGAUGCGAGCGUUAUCGGGAAUGAUGGGGCGUAAAGGGUCCGCAGGUGGCCCGGUCAGUCCGCUGUCAAAGCCUGGGGCUCAACCCUGGAGAGGCGGCGGAGACCACCGGGCUUGAGUCCGGUAGGGGCAGAGGGAAUUCCCGGUGGAGCGGUGAAAUGCGUAGAGAUCGGGAAGAACGCCAAGGGCGAAGGCACUCUGCUAGGCCUGAUUUCGCGACUGACACUCAGGGACGAGAGCCAGGGGAGCGAAUGGG
rnacentral:rRNA from 1 species